UCGAACGGCAGCAACAGGAGAGCUUUGCUCUCUUGGGUGGCGAGUGGCGGACGGGUGAGGAAUACAUCGGAAUCUACCUUUUCGUGGGGGAUAACGUAGGGAAACUUACGCUAAUACCGCAUACGACCUACGGGUGAAAGUGGGGGACCGCAAGGCCUCACGCGAUUAGAUGAGCCGAUGUCCGAUUAGCUAGUUGGCGGGGUAAUGGCCCACCAAGGCGACGAUCGGUAGCUGGUCUGAGAGGAUGAUCAGCCACACUGGAACUGAGACACGGUCCAGACUCCUACGGGAGGCAGCAGUGGGGAAUAUUGGACAAUGGGCGCAAGCCUGAUCCAGCCAUACCGCGUGGGUGAAGAAGGCCUUCGGGUUGUAAAGCCCUUUUGUUGGGAAAGAAAUCCUGUCGAUUAAUACUC
rnacentral:rRNA from 1 species